rfam:Harpegnathos saltator strain R22 G/1 HarSal_1.0_2.contig1129, whole genome shotgun sequence.
CGUCAGAUAGUUCAGUGGUCUAGAGCAGUCGCCCGGCCAGCGAAAGACCCGGGUUCGAUUCCCGGUCUAGCGA